UCCCGUUGAUCCUGCGGGAGGCUGCUGCUAUUGGAGUUCGAUUAAGCCAUGCAAGUCAAGGGGACCUUCGGGUCACCGGCAGAAUGCUCAGUAACACGUCGUUAACCUAACCUUGGAUCGGGGAUAGCCUCGGAAACCUGAGGGUAAAACCUGAUAGGGAAUUUGUUCUGGAAAUGAUUUAUUCUUGAAAAGUAAUGUCUGAGGAUGGGACGGCGGCCGAUUAGGCUGUUGGCGGGGUAACGGCCCACCAAACCGAAGAUCGGUAGGGGUCUUGAGAGAGAUAGCCUCGAGAAGGGCACUGAGGUACUGGCCCUAGCCCUAAGGGGUGCAGCAGGCGCGAAACCUUUACACUGUACGAAAGUGCGAUAGGGGAACUCCAAGUGCUCAAGUCUUACUUGGGCUUUUGCCAAAGCUAAGACCUUUGGCGAAUAAGUGGUGGGAAAGACUGGUGCCAGCCGCCGCGGUAACACCAGCGCCACGAGUGGGAGCCGCGAUUAUUGGGCCUAAAGCGUCCGUAGCCUGUUAAGUAAAUCUUUUGUGAAAUCGUUCAGCUUAACUGAACGGCGAGCAGGAGAGACUGCUUGACUAGGGACCGGGAGGGGUUAGAGGUAUUUCAGGGGGAGCGGUAAAAUGCUAUAAUCCUUGGAAGACCACCUGUGGCAUAGGCGUCUAACCAGAACGGGUCCGACGGUGAGGGACGAAAGCUAGGGGAGCAAUCCGGAUUAGAUACCCGAGUAGUCCUAGCUGUAAACGCUGCGAGCAAGGUGUUGCACAUUCUCCGUGAUUGUGCAGUGUCGAAACGAAGGUGUUAAGCUCGCCGCCUGGGAAGUAUGGUCGCAAGACUGAAACUUAAAGGAAUUGGCGGGGGGGCACAACAAGGGGUGCGGCGUGCGGUUUAAUCUAACUCCACACAGAGAAUCUCACCAGGAGCGACGGCAGGAUGAAAGUCAGUCUAAAGGGCUUACUUGACGAGCCGAGAGGUAGUGCAUGGCCGUCGUCAGCUCGUGCCGCGAGGUGUCCUCUUAAGUGAGGUAACGAGCGAGACCUGCAUCCACAUUUGCCAGCAGGCUUUGCGACUGGGCACAAUGUGGGGACUGCCUUGGAAACAAGGAGGAAGGUGCAGGCAACGGUAGGUCUGUAUGCUCCGAAUCCCCUGGGCUACACGCUCGCAACAUUGAUAGGGACAAUGGGAUGCGACUCCGAAAGGAGAAGCUAAACCUCAAAAACCCUAUCCAGGUUCAGAUCGAGGAUUGUAACUCAUCCUCGUGACGACGGAAUCCCUAGUAAUCGGAAUUCAUCAAAUUCCGGUGAAUAUGUCCCUGCUCCUUGCACACACCGCCCGUCAAACCAACCGAGCAGGUUUUAGAUGAGUCUUAUUUCUUUGAAUAAGCCGAAUCUAGGAUCAGUGAGGUGGGUUAAGUCGACACAAGGUA
rnacentral:rRNA from 1 species